GUCGAACGGCAGCGGACUCUUCGGAGUGCCGGCGAGUGGCGAACGGGUGAGUAAUACAUCGGAACAUACCCCAUAGUGGGGGAUAGCUCGGCGAAAGCCGAAUUAAUACCGCAUACGACCUACGGGUGAAAGGGGGGGAUCGCAAGACCUCUCGCUAUUGGAGUGGCCGAUGGCUGAUUAGCUUGUUGGUGGGGUAAAGGCCUACCAAGGCUACGAUCAGUAGCUGGUCUGAGAGGACGACCAACCACACUGGGACUGAGACACGGCCCAGACUCCUACGGGAGGCAGCAGUGGGGAAUCUUGGACAAUGGGCGAAAGCCUGAUCCAGCAAUGCCGCGUGUGCGAAGAAGGCCUUCGGGUUGUAAAGCACUUUUGUCAGGGAAGAAAUUGCUCAAGUUAAUACCUUGAGUCGUUGACGGUACCUGAAGAAUAAGCACCGGCUAACUACGUGCCAGCAGCCGCGGUAAUACGUAGGGUGCAAGCGUUAAUCGGAAUUACUGGGCGUAAAGCGUGCGCAGGCGGUUUGCUAAGACAGUUGUGAAAUCCCCGGGCUCAACCUGGGAACUGCAAUUGUGACUGGUAGACUAGAGUUUGGCACAGGGGGGUGGAAUUCCUGGUGUA
rnacentral:rRNA from 1 species